GACGAACGCUGGCGGCGUGCUUAACACAUGCAAGUCGAACGGUGACGAGGAGCUUGCUCCUCUGAUCAGUGGCGAACGGGUGAGUAACACGUGAGUAACCUGCCCCAGACUCUGGGAUAACAGUUGGAAACAGCUGCUAAUACCGGAUACGAGACGGAGAGGCAUCUCUACCGUCUGGAAAGUUUUUCGGUCUGGGAUGGACUCGCGGCCUAUCAGCUUGUUGGUGAGGUAAUGGCUCACCAAGGCGACGACGGGUAGCCGGCCUGAGAGGGCGACCGGCCACACUGGGACUGAGACACGGCCCAGACUCCUACGGGAGGCAGCAGUGGGGAAUAUUGCACAAUGGGCGAAAGCCUGAUGCAGCGACGCCGCGUGAGGGAUGACGGCCUCG
rnacentral:rRNA from 1 species